ensembl:snRNA U6 U6 spliceosomal RNA
GUGCUUGCUUUGGCAGCACAUAUACUAAAAUUGGAAUGAUACAGAGAAGAUUAGCAUGGCCCUUGUGCAAAGAUGACACACAAAUUUGUGAAGCGUUUCAUAUUUUU